GUUCCAAACUGGACUUUGUCCUUGGUACUAAGGACGACAUUAUUAUUACCUAUAUUAAAGCGCUAUCUCCCCGUGAACAGUACCGGCCGUAUUGAUUUACUCUUUUACCCCUUUGUGUUUCUUAAUUACGACACUGCCAUUCAAUAGUCUGAGGGUGACAGAGAGACCGGGAGAGGUGUCUUCUGGGUCUUUUACGAGAGACAAGAAGAGGGCAAUUCACAUUGCCAGACUGAACGGAGAGAAAAGGAGAAGAGGGGGACGACAAGAAGAAGAAGAGGAAUCUGGAUAAUGAUCUGAAGUACCUGGUUUUUAUGUGUUUUAAUUCGUGUUUUUCUUCUGGGUUUUGUGGUUUGAUGCUUGGUUGCAUGGUUUUUGUGGUUUUGGGUUUUCGAAUUGCUUUCCUUUCAAAUCUUUUGAAAUUGCUUUGGAUUUUUGUAAUCGGAUUUCACUUUCAGAUUGCCCGACUACGCUGAUUAGGUCCCCCACAAGCGGAAGGAGUUUCUGGGUCUUUUACUUUUCCACUUCUACCAGAAGCCUGUACGAUUAUUUCUGUCUUCUUCGAUGAUGAUUGCUUUAAAUUCUCGGCGUGACAUCAUUGAGGUGACGCUAACUUUAUGUUCUUUGGGGACCUUGAAGAGAAUAGAAUUUUAGCAGGGUAAAGGGAACUCAAUCAUAGCAAGUGUUUAUUUCUUCGUUAUCUACCAUUUGAUUGGAUUACUAUUUGAUAGAAAACGCAAGGAUUCCUCCGCUGCAGACCAGUGAUUGAGCAAAGGAGAAAAGAACGGCUUUGGGUCUGAGUUUUUGAUUGAAAUUAUAUGCCUGUUAAUUCAGAGAUUGAAUCGACCAGUACCUCGACUUGAUGUGAGCGUCAAAGUGUUCAUCAUUAAAAGUGAUUGCGAGAGAGAGAGAGAGAGAGAGAGAGAGAGAGAGAGAGAGAGAGAGAUAGGUUUUCUGUGUCUUCUGGGUUUUCUCACUGUUCUACGAGAGAGAGAAUGAGGGAGUGAAGGCUGAUCCGAAAGAGAGGAAGAACAUGAACGGGAACAGGAAGAGGAAGAAGAAUUUGACACACCAAGUUGUCGUAAUGACUUUUUGCCUGAAAUUUCAGUUCUUGAUUGAAGGUUUGGUUUGCCAUGUAUGCUGGGUAUAUGCGAGAAUUGGAUUUCAGAAUUUGUUUUUUCUUUUUCUCUGUUUGAGUUGAAAGCUCUGUGGAUUUUGAAGUAGCGGGUAGCUGAGAUUUAAGAGCAAAUAAUUGAACUCAAUCAAACAUGAUUCGAUUUGUGUGAUCCGAAAUUGAAAAACCCAAUUAAAAAUUCAA